GACGAACGCUGGCGGCGUGCUUAACACAUGCAAGUCGAACGAAGUGGCGAACGGGUGAGUAACGCGUAAUAAACCUGCCCUUCAGAGGGGGACAACAGUUGGAAACGACUGCUAAUACCGCAUACGGAAGGAGGGGAUUGCGUCUGAUGGGCUAGGUGGGGGGGUAAAGGCCAACCAAGGCGAUGAUCAGUAGCCGGUCUGGGAGGAUGAACGGCCAAAAUGGGAACGGGACACGGGCCAGACUCCUACGGGAGGCAACAGUGGGGAAUCUUCCGCAAUGGACGAAAGUCUGACGGAGCAACGCCGGGUGAGUGAUGACGGCCUUCGGGUUGUAAAGCUCUGUUAAUCGGGACGCGGUACCGGAAUAGAAAGCCACGGCUAACUCCGUGCCAGCAGCCGCGGUAAUUC
rnacentral:rRNA from 1 species